CGUUGUUCGGAUUUACUGGGCGUAAAGGGCGCGUAGGCGGCAAAUUAAGUCAGCUGUGAAAUCUCCGAGCUUAACUCGGAACGGUCAGCUGAUACUGAUCUGCUAGAGUGCGGAAGGGGCAAUCGGAAUUCUUGGUGUAGCGGUGAAAUGCGUAGAUAUCAAGAGGAACACCUGAGGUGAAGACGGGUUGCUGGGCCGACACUGACGCUGAGUGCGCGAAAGCCAGGGGAGCAAACGGG
rnacentral:rRNA from 1 species